rnacentral:rRNA from 1 species
AACGAACGCUGGCGGCAUGCCUAACACAUGCAAGUCGAACGAGACCUUCGGGUCUAGUGGCGCACGGGUGCGUAACACGUGGGAAUUUGCCUCGGGGUAUGGAAUAACUCAGGGAAACUUGAGCUAAUACCAUAUAAUGUCUUCGGACCAAAGAUUUAUCGCCCUGAGAUAAGCCCGCGUAGGAUUAGCUAGUUGGUGGGGUAAAGGCUCACCAAGGCGACGAUCCUUAGCUGGUCUGAGAGGAUGAUCAGCCACACUGGGACUGAGACACGGCCCAGACUCCUACGGGAGGCAGCAGUGGGGAAUAUU